rnacentral:rRNA from 1 species
UAUAGUCGAACGCUGAAGCCGACAGCUUGCUGUUGGUGGAUGAGUGGCGAACGGGUGAGUAACACGUGAGUAACCUGCCCCUGGUUUCGGGAUAAGCCUGGGAAACUGGGUCUAAUACCGGAUAUGACCAAUCCUUGCAUGAGGGUUGGUGGAAGGUUUUUCGAUCGGGGAUGGGCUCGCGGCCUAUCAGCUUGUUGGUGGGGUAAUGGCCUACCAAGGCGACGACGGGUAGCCGGCCUGAGAGGGCGACCGGCCACACUGGGACUGAGACACGGCCCAGACUCCUACGGGAGGCAGCAGUGGGGAAUAUUGCACAAUGGGGGAAACCCUGAUGCAGCGACGCAGCGUGCGGGAUGACGGCCUUCGGGUUGUAAACCGCUUUCAGCAGGGAAGAAGCGAAAGUGACGGUACCUGCAGAAGAAGUACCGGCUAACUACGUGCCAGCAGCCGCGGUAAUACGUAGGGUACGAGCGUUGUCCGGAAUUACCGG